ACUGUCAGUAUAAUAGGUCUAUAUGACAAAAAUCAUUAAUAAAAUCCGCUAAAAAAAUGAAAUUUAAACGAGAUUCAUGCAGGUUUGCUUUUCCAUUGAAAUAACAAAGGUUUACAACUUUUAAAAUGGAUUGCUUAUCGAGCACGCUCAUAAUUUUUUUCCCAUAUUUUGAAUUAUGUUAUGAAAAUCGUUGCGCGGCAGCCCCAAUUCUAGGUGUCAAAUAAUGUUUACUGCAAAAUGGCGGAUGUUUAUAUUCAUUUCGUGAGUUUGUUCUUGUAUUUUGGAAUUAUUCUGAGCCAAAAUUAAUAGAAAUGAUUGUAAAUAUAUUGUGCGCGGUUGCAAAAGUGAGUGGCAGCCAGGAUGUGAUAUUAUAUUUCAUUCGUUUCCGUCCAAUCUAGCGGAACGCUAACGCAUGGCGAAACGCAUGGCUAAAUAGCUAAAUAUAGUAGAAUUAAAAAUAUCCUGUUUUGAAAAAGCGAAGAUAUUAUGCAACAUUCAUUUUAAACCAGCACUUGGACAGUGCGGCGGAUGUUGCCUGUAACCUCAUAGGAGGCCAUGUCCCAGCAGUGGGAACGUAAUAUAUACGUUACGGGAAAUAAAAUGUAUGGGAGGGUUUAAAGUUACAUUUUUAGAUAUUUCUCGUUAUAUUAAAAAAAGUUAUUAUUGUUAUUUUCGUUUCGUUUCGUUUCGUUAAGUGUGCACUUAACGAUUACACCCUGAAUAUAUUAUAUAUUUUGUUUUUUAUUGUAUCAUAGGGAAGCGCAAGACCACGAUCUCAUAUUUCAAGUACUCUUAAAACUAUUUAAAUACUAAAGGGUAUGGAAUAAUUAAAAUAUUUUCAGUGAACCGAUUUCGUUAUUUUUUAUUGUUAUUGUAUCUUAUAAUUUGCAAUUUUGUAAAGGCAGUUGGCAUUGUAAUGAUAAAUAAAUAUUAUUAAAACGCA